rnacentral:rRNA from 1 species
AACGAACGCUGGCGGCAUGCCUAACACAUGCGAGUCGAACGAGACCUUCGGGUCUAGUGGCGCACGGGUGCGUAACGCGUGGGAACCUGCCCUUAGGUUCGGAAUAACUCCCCGAAAGGGGUGCUAAUACCGGAUAAUGUCUUCGGACCAAAGAUUUAUCGCCUUUGGAUGGGCCCGCGUUGGAUUAGCUAGUUGGUAGGGCAAAAGCCUACCAAGGCGACGAUCCAUAGCUGGUCUGAGAGGAUGAUCAGCCACACUGGGACUGAGACACGGCCCAGACUCCUACGGGAGGCAGCAGUGGGGAAUAUUGGACAAUGGGCGAAAGCCUGAUCCAGCAAUGCCGCGUGAGUGAUGAAGGCCUUAGGGUUGUAAAGCUCUUUUACCCGGGAUGAUAAUGACAGUACCGGGAGAAUAAGCUCCGGCUAACUCCGUG